rnacentral:rRNA from 1 species
CAGCCGCCGCGGUAAUACGAAGGGGGCUAGCGUUGCUCGGAAUGACUGGGCGUAAAGGGCGCGUAGGCGGCGAUCAAAGUCAGGCGUGAAAUUCCUGGGCUCAACCUGGGGGCUGCGUUUGAUACUUGGUUGCUAGAGUGAGGAAGAGGGUCGUGGAAUUCCCAGUGUAGAGGUGAAAUUCGUAGAUAUUGGGAAGAACACCGGUGGCGAAGGCGGCAACCUGGUCCUUGACUGACGCUGAGGCGCGAAAGCGUGGGGAGCAAACAGGAUUAGAUACCCCCGUAGUCCCUGUCUCUUAUAC